UACGAAGGGGGCUAGCGUUGCUCGGAAUCACUGGGCGUAAAGCGCACGUAGGCGGAUCGAUCAGUCAGGGGUGAAAUCCCAGGGCUCAACCCUGGAACUGCCUUUGAUACUGUCGAUCUGGAGUAUGGAAGAGGUGAGUGGAAUUCCGAGUGUAGAGGUGAAAUUCGUAGAUAUUCGGAGGAACACCAGUGGCGAAGGCGGCUCACUGGUCCAUUACUGACGCUGAGGUGCGAAAGCGUGGGGAGCAAACAGG
rnacentral:rRNA from 1 species